rnacentral:lncRNA from 1 species
GCAUGCAGGUCAAGUCAAGCUCAAUUAGGUAAAGCCUAAACGGACACUACAUCAUUUCACAAUUUUAUAUUUUCAGAGUCGACUCCAAUAACUCUUUUCCAAAACCCAGUGCUUCCCAUUAAUUCCUGACUCUUCAUACGUUCACCUAAAUUUCUCCUCACUCAUUCCAACUCUUUUUCCACAUGAUCCUAUAAAAUCCCUUCAAUUAUUUGUUUCGCAUAUCUCAAAGUAUAUCAUCUAGUUGCACAGAUCCCAAAGCUUCAACCAAUUCGAGUCCCUUUCUAGAGCCUAUUCAAAGACAAAGCCGUAUCACUCUUCCGAACCAAAUCCAACACUCGGUCAGCUAUUCCUAUCAGAAUAGAGCUCCAUCGUCCAAGCCAAUUGAUCCCUCU